rnacentral:rRNA from 1 species
CCCAGACAGCCAGGAUGUUGGCUUAGAAGCAGCCAUCAUUUAAAGAAAGCGUAAUAGCUCACUGGUCGAGUCGGCCUGCGCGGAAGAUGUAACGGGGCUAAACCAUGCACCGAAGCUGCGGCAGCGACACUCAGGUGUUGUUGGGUAGGGGAGCGUUCUGUAAGCCUGUGAAGGUGUGCUGUGAGGCAUGCUGGAGGUAUCAGAAGUGCGAAUGCUGACAUAAGUAACGAUAAAGCGGGUGAAAACCCCGCUCGCCGGAAGACCAAGGGUUCCUGUCCAACGUUAAUCGGGGCAGGGUGAGUCGACCCCUAAGGC